ensembl:lncRNA
GAGAAGAGGCAAUUCUCACUUCCUGCCUUUGGGAGAGAACUCCUGAUUGUGCUUUGCCAGGAAUCCACUGGUACAAAUUUACUUUUAAAGUUUGCUGGACUUGUGCUCAUUCUACUAAGGACUUGCUUUAUUGGCACAUUGAGUAUUUGCUGACAGUCUCCUGAUUCACUUCUUUAUGCCUUGGCUCCCAUAUAAGUUUUUCCUACGUACUUGGCAUUUAAGAAGCUCACACAGCCACCACUAUAGUCUCAGUUUGGAAGCUGGUGAACUGUGUCCUGCCUGGGGAAACGGCACCUGAUAAGAAGAUUCCAGAAUCACUUUUGGGGUCAACAUGACUGAAGCGACUUAGCAGCAGCAGCAGCAGCAGCAGUAUACAUACAGGAGAAGGCGAUGGAACCCCACUCCAGUAUUCUUGCCUGGAAAAUCCCAUGGACGGAGGAGCCUGAUAGGCUCUAGUCCAUGGGGUCAUGAAGAGUCGGACACGACUGAGCGACUUCCCUUUCACUUUUCACUUUCCUGCAUUGAAGAAGGAAAUGGCAACCCACCCCAGUGUUCUUGCCUGGAGAAUCCCAGGGAUGGGGGAACCUGGUGGGCUGCCAUCUAUGGGGUCGCACAGAGUCAGACACGACUGAAGUGACUUAGCAGCAGCAGCAAUAUACAUACAGGGGAUUCCCUGGUGGCUCAGAUGGUAAAGCAUCUGCCUGCAAUGCAAGACCCAGGUUCUAUCCCUGGGUCGGAAAGAUCCCCUAGAGAAGGACAUGGCAACCCACUCCAAUACUCUUGCUGGAAAAUUCCAGGGAUGGAGGAGCCUGUUAGGCUACAGUCCAUGGGAAUGCAAAGAGUGGGACACAGCUGAGCAACUUCACUUCACUCACAUGCGGGGCUUCCCUGGUGGCUCAGCAAUAAAGAAUCUGUCUGCAGUGAAGGAGAUUCAGGUUUGAUCCCUGGGCCAGGAAGAUCCCCUGGAGUAGGAAAUGGCAGCCCACUCCAAUAUUCUUGCCUGGGAAAUCCCAUGGACAGAGGAGCCUGCAGGGCUACAGCUCAUGGGGUCACCAAGAGUUGGACACAACUUAGUGACGAAAUCAACACUACCACAUACUUCAGUGC